AUCCGGCGUGCCGGGGCGGCCAUUACCAAUCGGGGCGACGAUUGGCGACGAUAUACCAACCGCGGAAGUCAUUGAGAUCGUUCGUCUCGACCUUCUCGUCGUCGGUUGGACCUCGCUUUGACGGCUUUGACCUAGAGCAUCUCGCUGCGAGCCAUACUUUACGUUUUGCGACACUCUGGCGAUAUCGAUCUCGUGAUACAAGUCAUACGAGCGCGGAGCGACGAAAACAUGACGUACGCGUCACUCCGUCAACCGAAGCACUGACGCGGCUGCUUGUGUUUCCAAGGCAUUAACACGCGACCGAUCGAUCGGCACGUCGGCUGUUUCGCAACUGCGAUCGCAACGGUCCACUUACGAGGGGACCGGACUGGAGAAAGCUCUGCAAGGACCACAGCUGCGCCGCUGGUCGAGCUGUUCUUUGCAGCGUACCUCGUAUCUUUAAGGAUGCGAAGGAAGUAGAAGAAAUUAGAUUCACGAGCAUGGGCGGCUGAUGACAGCUUCGGCCGCCAUCAGGAGUAACGAGAUCCGGAUGCGAUUCAACUUCGGGCAGGAAGAUGUCCAUUUUCAUAAAUGAUCGAAGCCGAGCUUCAUUCAGCACGGGCAACGUGUCCGCGUGCGCGGCGGCAGUUUCAUUAGAAUUUGCAUAAGGACUCUCUAUACCGAGAACACAGAGUGGAGAGGAGAGCGCAUCCGCGCGGCCAAAUCGAAUUAGCUUCAACAACGACGCUGAUGACGCUUCGCAACGCCACGACGGGGUAGUGCAACGCGUCGCGAAAAUCCAUUAUCAGAUCCCACGCUUUCGCAAUCCACUUUGAUUUUUUUUUCUCAAUGCCUCAGAUCGCAUAGAUUAGUGGCAUGCAGAAGGCAAGAUACGAGUCCUUGCAAACGGGCGAACAAUUUCUAUUGUGACGCGUUCUCAUAAGAGAUGUUUCAAAGCGCACGUACGUGCAGAAUAUCUCGUGACGGAAGCCAUGCGUUUUAUCUAUUAGUUGUCGAAAUUUCCUUUCAGCGCGAGAAUUCAAUAGGAUGCCGUAUCUCUACAGCUAUUUCCGUGCAAAAUUAAGUUCAUUGCCUACAAUGAAACUUAAGAUUUAAGAAAAUUGACCAUAAUCGAUUAUUCAUCUCACGUGAGAAGAAUAAUCGAUUGUGAUUGGUCAGGUUUUUAAAAUCUCAAAUCUUAAGUCUCAUUGUAGACGCCGCUUUAUCUCAAGAUAAAAACUUGCCUCUUUCUUUCCUUGAAUGCGUAGACUUAUCUACUGUCAAACGCAGGACAGGUGGAGAAAGAUGCGAUUGAAAAGAACGAAACCUUUUUAUUUGAAAUUCUAACACAGACGAAAAUUUGUAUAACUUUGAGUAGUUUUUUGAGGAAUGCUUUAGAAAAAUUAAUUACGGUUAACAUCCUGCUCGAUGCAUUUUAAAUUUGGAAUGCAGAAAUACGUAAUCGUCUAAAAAAAAGUGCAGUGAACGCUUCUUGAAAGAAACGAAAGAAUUUGCUUUGAAAUAAAAAUAUUAGUAGCAACGCAUCUUAUGCAGUGCAUCCAAGUUUAUAAUACAUAUAUUAUUGAACUUAUUAUAUGUGAAGUUUAUCGAAAUUGCCAAUUAAAUUGAUUGUACUUUUAUCAAAGCAUAUGUUAUAAUUACGUACGUGUAUCCUUUUUUAUUCGGAUAUUUCUUUAUUUCAUAAAGUGUUACAGCUUCCGUUUAAAGGCCAUGUGUACAUAAGUUGAAAUAAAUCGGCGUUUAAUUAUUUUUGCAUCCAAAAA